rnacentral:tRNA from 1 species
GGGGUUGUGGCUCAGUGGCAGAGUGCUUGCCUCGCACAUAUGAAGCACUGGGUUCGAUCCUCAACACCA